UAGUCCAUGCCGUAAACGAUGUGUGUUAGACGUUGGAAAUUUAUUUUCAGUGUCGCAGCGAAAGCGAUAAACACACCGCCUGGGGAGUACGACCGCAAGGUUAAAACUCAAAUGAAUUGACGGGGACCCGCACAAGUAGUGGAGCAUGUGGUUUAAUUCGAAGAUACGCGCAGAACCUUACCAACACUUGACAUGUUCGUCGCGACUUUAAGAGAUUAAAGUUUUCGGUUCGGCCGGACGAAACACAGGUGCUGCAUGGCUGUCGUCAGCUCGUGUCGUGAGAUGUUGGGUUAAGUCCGGCAACGAGCGCAACCCACAUCUUUAGUUGCCAGCAGUUCGGCUGGGCACUCUAAAGAAACUGCCCGUGAUAAGCGGGAGGAAGGUGUGGAUGACGUCAAGUCCUCAUGGCCCUUACGGGGUUGGGGCUACACACGUGCUACAAUGGCGGGUUACAACGGGGCAGCGAAAGAGCGAUCUGGAGCUAAUCCCCAAAAACCGU
rnacentral:rRNA from 1 species